ACGAGUUUUGACCGGGUUGUCGCUGGCCUUCCGAGGCAUGUGCACGCCCUGCUCAUCCACUCUACACCUGUGCACUUACUGUGGGUUUCAGAUCGUGUAGCGGGCCUUUGCGGGUUCGUGAAGCGGCCUGUGCCUGCGUUUAUUACAAACACUAUAAAGUAUCAGAAUGUGUAUCGCGAUGUAACGCAUCUAUAUA
rnacentral:misc_RNA from 1 species